ensembl:lncRNA
GGCUGCACCAGAACAUUUAUUUCAUAUAAUGCACCAUUUAUUUUCAAUUAUCGUGGUGCUUUCCCCUCUCCCUCCCCAUGCACUUGGCAGGUCGCUGGUGGAAAGUUUGCAGAGUUGCAGAACGUCCUCAUACGAGAUGCACCAGGGAACAGGGAGGGAUGGCAGCAGGGUGGGAAGGACGGACGGACAUCUCAGAGCCAUGGGAGCUCUUGGGUUGGGCUGUGGUUUCCAAGCUGGUGACAAAAGCACCAAUCCCACCCCACAGCUCCUCACGGCCAAGGGACCUCCACACUUCCCAUGCCCUUGGGUGGGGAUGGGCUGCUGCACUGCCUUACACCUGCGCUCCCACCAGCUCUGUUAUUCCCACCUCUGUCUCAGCCACAGCCAUUUAAAGCUCUCUGACAUACCAUGAAGGAUUUUCCAGUGGGGUUCAGAGACGAAGAUUCGUAUUGAGAAGCCCAAAUUUAUUGGAUUAAUGCUGUGGACCAAAACCACGGCCGCUUAACAAUUGGAGGAUCUGUAUUUUACAGCAAUGUAACUAAUAAGGCCAUUAAUACAAACUGGGCUCACUCCUGACAUUUAUAUAGCUGUAAAUCUCUCUCAGCACUGGAAUUAUUUAUGCCAUCCCAGGCACUCGAGCAGCGCUGUCGUCCUUUAUCAGGCUGAAAGAUUUAAGCCAAGAGACAAUGAUGCUAAGUGUAAUGAAAGGGAGCACGAGCAAAGCGAGGACGGCGCUGGCGCAGCAGGAGCAGGGCCAUGACCUGACCAGAGCAUGCCAGGAGCAAAUGCAAUCCCUGCUCUUGGGCAUUGGGGGGCAGCUCCCCAUUUCCAGCAGCCAUAAGGUCAGGGCACCUGCAGCCCAGGUGUUUAAGGUCAAGCUCUUUAGGAUGCAUCUGUGCCUCAGGUCUGUCUGUCUCUUUCUGAGCAAGGAAAACUUGGAGAGAAAGAGAAGCAAAUAAAUCUGUACAGAGCAAGGAGGCUUAAAAACCCAAAAAGCAGCCCCAAGCAGCACAGGAAACUGUAAACAGUGAGAGGAGAGGGUGUGGGUGGUGGGAGCAGAGAGCAGCCUGCCAGCCCUCCGUGUGCACUAAUUAUUUCUGGCAUUAUCUGCACCGACAGAUAAGGUUUUCAUUAAUAAACUCGAAGAGGAGCAGGGGGCGUGGGGGGAAGGGAGAAGCAGCAGCAGCUGAGAGCUGCAAAUUGGCCACAACCAGCAGCAAAAUGCAAUCAGGUGCAGGGAGCAGCGAGGGGCCCAGCAGCAGUGGUGGCAGCAGAGGGGACAUGGGGGACUGUAAUUAGCAGCAGUCCUUUCCCUGCUCACUGCCUCCUAAUUCACCGCACGUUGGGAAAGAAAUCGUCAGUAAUCUUUCAUAGCAGGGCCUUAUUAAGCCCACUAUCUGCAGUUAUUUAAUUGGACGAGAUAAAGGCAGGGCAGCCCGGGAUGCAGGGCAAGGGAGGUGCAUCACUGCACCGCCACCGUGCUCCUGCAACAAGCAUGCAGGCAGAUGUGCACGCACGGGGUGAUGGGCUGCAGGGAUGCUCAAGCCACGGAUUUUAACUGAUCUUGUGCAGGUUGUGACAACACAAAGGAGAGAAAGAGGAACCCCAGAUCCUGCUCACAGCAUUGGGGCUGGGAGCCAAAGGGCAGGAUGAUGCAGGAUGGGGCCAGCGCUGUGCAUUCGGACAGGCUCACGGGAGGCAGCAGGAUGGACGGAUGGGGUCACAAAGCCACAGCAAUUAGCAGGAGCAGGCUGGUCCCCUCUCGGCCUUGGUUUCCAUGGCAACGGGGUGGUUCAGCACAUUUCUCCAUGCACAACCUCACCACAAAGGUCGGGGCAGCGUGGCAGAGGAAGAUGUCCGGUCCCGCUGAAACAGAAUACCAUGGCAAAUCAUUAGAACAUGCACAAAAGAGUGCGACCUUCCCCAAAAAGCUCAAUCCUGAAGGUGCCUCCACCCCAAACAGCCACCUCAGGGUGCACACGCCAGGCUCAGCAGCAACCCCUUGUUCUAUUUGCCAUUGCUCACAGGCAGCAGGAGUGGCAUUUCCACCAGGCUCACCACCCUCCUGGUUCCAUGUCGCUGCUCUGAUUGCAGCAGGGAGGACACAGCAUCCCAAACACAAUGAUGUGCAGCUCUCCUACAAGCCCUUUGCUCUCCAAGGUGCAGAGCCCCAGGGUCUCUGGCAAACCGCAUCCGCAGUGGGAAUGGAGAGAGAUUGAGAAGGGGAAGGAGAGGAUUGCUGGCUGCUUUGAUGCUCUCCUUAAACCGUGGGCUUUGCAAAAGACCUGAGAGCUGCACACAGGUGAAAGGACAGUAUUUCCUGAGGCAGAGCAAGGUGCCAUCCUGGUAAAUACUUCAUUAGGGGUCAAACUGCUAGCACAGGGAGUUCUACCUGCAGAGCUUUAUCGUCUGUUUGAAAAAGCAGCAGCUUAUCAGAAAGGAUUUCCUUCUGCCUGAAACCAGGAGUGAGUCUGCAUCCAUAUCAGCUGUUUAAAACCAGCACAAGCUGAUGGAUGCCCUCGUGCUGCCCAAGCAGAGCCAGCUCAGGGACCAGGGCAGCUUGGGCCCCUCGCUCAGUGGGCAGGAGGUGCAGAGACGACAGGUGUUCUCCCAGCCUUACAGGAGUCUUCCAGGUGCCCAUCAGCUUGGAGAGCCAGAGGAGAGGGGAUGCCAGCCAGGGACCUGCAUCUCACAGGGAAAAAGGCUGAGACCGAGCUUCACCUCUUUGAAAGGUAAGAUGGAAACUCCUCGUGCAACUGAAGCUUUCCUGAGCAAAGUUAGCAAAGACAAAUCUAUUCACAGGCAGAAGUCUCCUAAGAGGAGUUCAAAGCAGCGGCAGAAGAGAGGCUUUGGGCAGUUGGAAGAGACAUUCUCCUGGGAUGGAAGCUCGGGAUGGAGAGGUACCAACAACCUUACAGCAGCACCUCCUUUCUCACACCUGAUGUCACUCACUGAGGAGCUGAGCAAUAAGAACUCCCUUUUCCAGACGCUGGUAACGGCAGCGACCUGUCCUGCUUGGUUGUAACGAGCUCCAAAAUCCCUACAGACCCACACAGCUGAAGAACACUUCAGUCCCCCAAAACGGAGCCGAGCUGCAAGAAAGCAAAUAGGAUCCAUCCCGGCUAAUUAUUUGUUGUUAAUUGUCAAAUAGAAAGAUGGAUUGAUGAAAGGAGUUGGUAAGCAGAACGACAGCGCGAGUGUACUUGAAGGCAAGAGCUGUAACGGGAUCUGAGAGCAGGGCUUGUCGUAAUCCACGGGCUGUUAAUUAUCUAAACACCGGUCCCUCGGAGCUGCAUGAGUGAGGAUUAAUUAGCUUUUGAAAUAAUAGCUAAAUUGAUACCGGGAAGGAGUUGGGGUUCCAAAAUAAUGGCUGAAAAUUAGCCAGCUUGCUUCUCCGCUUCUCUCUGCCGUGCUCAGAAGGACAUUUGUCUCUGUUGUUUUUCCAGAAAAGGGCCAUUAAUCACAGCGGCAGAUGGCCCUUCCCAGACCUGUCGUGCUGCAGAGAGACAAAAGGAAGGCGGAGGAGAAGGAGGAAGCAAUCACCUACAAGCGUUGGGAGAAAGAAAUCCUCAGAACCAGCGAGGAGCAGCAACGGAGAGUGUCCUGCAGGAGAGCUGGAUCUGCCCAGGGUAACUGCUGGAGAUGGAGGACACCCCCUGUGACAGGCAGGUGCCUACAGGACAGGGUCUGACCGUCACCAAAACAAGUUUCCAGCAUCCCCAGCCCACCCCACCAUGCCCACAUCCCUCAGUGCCACAUCCCCGUGGCUGUGGAGCACCUGCAGGGACGGUGACCCCAGCGCUCCCUGGGCAGCUGUGCCACCGCAUCACCCAUCUUUUGGAGAAGAAACUUCUCCUUGUGUGCUCUGCCCAUCCUCCUGCCAACGGGAGGCACACAGCCUUUCCCUCCCCUCUGUCCCACGCCUCUCCGUGCGCGUUUUCGGGGCACCCUGGGAAAUCAGCUCGGUGUGGCAGCAGGGAGGGAGCAGCCAGCCGAAGGCUGCAGCAUUAAUCACAGCAGCCUCCCCGCACGGAGCCCGUUGUCUUCAAAGAGUGUCUGCUCCAUAAAGUACGCACAGCUGACACGUGUGAAACCCUUCACAGCACUUACUGAUGUACGUUACCUUGGCUUUUACAGCGUAAUAAAUAACGGGGGAGAGGCGGACACCCGUCCCCUAAUGAGCUACGGCAGCAAGGAGGGGAUGAGUGUUUGGCUGGGGGGAAAGCCCCCUCGUCCAACACCUUCCAGAGCCACAGGGAACCCACAGACCCCCCACGAGCGCGUGCCCUGCACAGCAGUGACCCAAAGGAGGGCAGCUGACACUCAGCUCUGCUCUCACUCCGCACCGCUUCUCUGCAGGAUCAAACCUCGGUGGUUUGGUAUGCUACACAGGAGGCUUAAGCAGAGCUCAGAGGAAAGAUCCUAUUAGAUAAGAGUGAGCACAGCAGGCCCGUAGCUGAGGGAAGCCACUCCAUCUCCGGGAGGCUCGGUUUAUCAGCACAGGGCUCAGGCACACUGAGAACCCACCGCAGUGUCAGCAGCGAGCAGCAAACAUCUCAUUAGUUACAGCGGGGCUCCCGCUGCUCUGCCAGCCAGCGCUCGGCCUGCUCAGAAUGGGGAGCAGAGUUCCCUCCUGGAAGCAAAUCAAAGGCAGCACGGAGGGGGGUAGCACACCUUGCUGCUGCCGGUGCAGCGCCGUCCUCCUGCUGUUCCUGGCCUCACUCCACUGCCAUGCCUUAGCUGGAUUAAUUGCUCACACCACGGGCAAGAGAAGUCAAGUGGAUGUCGUCUCCUUGGCCGUUACUCUGAUUUUUCAUCCUUCGCUUGCUGUGAAUAAAGAAGUGAGAGUGAAAGCGGCAGCCCCCAGCCCAGCCCAGGCUGCGGUGCACAGUCAGCUGCACAGCAUCCAUCCUCAGCAGCCACGGCAGGGCAGGCAGCACCGCUUUGCCCUUCAUCGUCCAGCAAGCACUGAUUUAUCCCCAGGUAGGCGCUGAGAAGUGGUGUGGUUUGCGAGCAUCCCUUCAGCAAACCAGAGCCCGGCGGUGCUCCCUUCUCCUGCAGAGGAACCCGGAGCGAUUCCUGCUUUUGGGUGCCCCCACCAGGGACAGAAGCCAUGGCUCUUUGAGCCCUCAGAUUUCUUCCAGUCCAAGCCCAGGUUAGCUGGGCUUCCCAGCCCACUGAGUGCUGCGUGGAGAGCGCCUCCCUGAUUCCCUUCUAGCUUCCUCCCUAGCCCUGGGGAGGAAGGUGAUUUUUCAUUCCUUCUUAAAAGGUGAUUAAAUGCUGUGUUUGUAAAAACACUUCAUUCUGGGGAACAAAUUACGUAAAACACGCUCAGUGGGAUCUAAUACAAACUGAUACCAUCAGCUAGCAAUAGGGGCUCCGCUGCCAGGAUUUGCUUUCCAGGGGCAAUGCUGAGCUGCCUGGACAACCCUGCUCCAGCCCAGGGUCUCACAGCCUCCCGGUGACCCUGAGGCCUACAGCAUGCAUGGAAGGAGCCAGCUGCCUGCAGGCAUCUCUCUGCCAGGCCACAUCCCUGCUGGGUGCCCCUUGGCCAGCAGGCAGUGAGGGAUAGGCCAUUCUGAACAAGGCAGGGCUGCUGCACAGCUCCAUCAGUCUAGCGUACCUGGAUCUCUUGAUGCUGCUUAUUUCUACCACUCAUGCUUGUUUCUCCUGAGCUCUUCCGUUGCUAUUCACCGUGCUGAGGCACUCGCAGGCACAGAGAAGAGCAGCUGGAUGGGGUUUCUUUACCCAUCACUGGGUUUCAAGGCAGCUCCAGGGGACGCAUGAGCUGCCACCGGCCUCGGCCAGUGUGCACCCAGCAAGAGACAAAGCUGAGUGGACACAGCUUCCCGUGCCCCGCAUCACUAAUGAUAGGAAACGAUGCCGCUUCCCCGAGGACAGGCCACUUGUCAGGGCAGGUGGCUGCAGCAGAGAGGAAAGGAGCUCUGACUUCUUCUGGCCAGGCUCAAGGAUGCUCCAGGGGAAAGCAGUGCGGGAGGCAGCGUGCUGGAUUGAGAGAGAAAGCAGUCUGGAUCCCGUCUUGGAUCCGUCGCUGAUGAAAAAGGAAGAGAAGAGAAAUCAAGAUUUCCUGCCCCCAAUUUGCUGACUCAGUAAUGACUCAAGGGACUAAAUUUAGCUACUGAAGUGCUCAGCAGCAGGGCGAGCGGCUGCUGGCCUCUCCUUAACCUUAUUACAAGACCUUUCAAGCAAACCUUUCCCCAGCUCAGAAGGGAUUCUGCUCACGCUCCAAGGGGACUGGAUGCCACCUUUGAAAGCUGGAAGAAAGCAGAUGUACGUACAUAGGUACACACACAGCUUCCCGGUGCCAACGCGAGACCUGGGAGUGGAGAGAAGCACUUGAGAGCAUCACGCUUGUUGAGUCACCAUAGCAACAGGGAGUUUUUAAAAGCAAUUAGGUGUGGGUUCAUCUGCUCUGCUCAGAAGGAUGGCAGAGCGCUGCCUCUCCUCCCUGCAGCUCCUGCACACGGGGCUCCUAUGGCAGAGGCAGGCACGAUAGCUCCGGCUGCACGGCCACGGGCAGACCUGGAGCUGCUCUGUGAGUCAGCCGGCUGCUGGCACACAGUCAGCCUGGUCCAGGGAAAGAUAUAGCUGUGACCCAGGCCUAUUUGUCCAGCCAAGACACAAUGAGGUGGAGUCAAAUGCUUUCCAACCGUACAAAAGUGUGAAUUCCUAACAGCAUCGAUAGCAUCUCUUGCGUGGCAGCUCGAGCCGUCCGCAAGCUAAGCCGAUUCCAUGCUUUCAUAAGACCCAUUUCCACGAGGUCAAUCAUUACAUAACCCCACAAAAAGAAAAACCUCCAUCGACCAUCUUCCAGGAGCACGGAGCUGGUGGGCAGCUGAGCUGUGCUGCCCGGAGCUCAGGACCUGGGCACAGGCAAUGGGGGUGACCCAGAGCCCCUGCACUGCCCACCCUGCACUGCCCAGUGCUGCAGGAAUGGAAGCAGAUCCAUGCACAUCACAUGGGAAUGGCAUCAGCCCCAUCAGAUUACAAAAACAUGCACUCCACUCUCCCAAUUCCUAUAUUCCUAUAGCUAAGAGCUUUUGGACUCUUCCCUCCUCCUCCCCCCCCCCCCCCCCCAAUAUGCUAUCAUUCAGUUCCUCCUCCUCACUGCUAGAAAUUCCCAUGCAGUUUCUCAUCACAUCUUUUCACCUCCCUUCAAAAUCCCUAUCUUUUCAAGGCUCUGUAUUGGAUGAGCUGCUGUUGAGCCGUUGAUUUCCAGCUCCCCCCCCUCUCUCCCCCCUUCCAUUUUGCACUUAUUUUUCUGCACUGCCUGCUCGCAGUGGCUGUUCUGCCACCAACAGCUUUUUGGCCAUCUGAUGGAGCAAUCCUCACCCCUAUAUCUGAGUGUUUGCUCAGGGCUGACCCGGCCCACCUAUGCCCUGUGACUCACACUGGCUGGGGACGUUUCCCUUUGAAUCAAGGAGCUUCCAGGAGACCCGAGAGCUGCAAAGCAUGGGGUGUUUGGUGCCCACGCCGUGCUUCAGCAUCAAUCUCCCCUCUUUAUGAACCAGAGAUAGGAUUUAGCAUUUACCCAAAGCGCACAGCUUGGGAUUGCAUGCGUUUGAAGCUGGAGCAGAUUUCACUUUGCUCUGGCAACCAGACACGUUCCACGCUCAUUCUCCAAGGGAGAGAUGGUGUAAUGCUCAUGUGACAGAGGGAGAGCAGCAAGAUGCAGCUGGGAAGGCUGGGACGAGGCACAGCCUCACUGCCCCUGCGUGCAGCAACCUCAGGUCCAUCUCAGGGACUGCUGAACUGCAAAGCCAGGGAGCAAACAGGUGCCCCUGUGGAGCUGGGGGGCAACCAGUGAGUGGGGGGCAACCAGUGCGUGGGGCUCCCGCCGUGCCAGCACUGUGAGUCAGCUGUGACGCAGCCUUCCCAGCCACCCCGCUGCAGCACAGAACUGCAAGCAGAAAGAAGGGAACCUCGUGCAGCAAAAGCACACAGGGUGGGAGCCUCACUCAAUGCUUUCUGCCCGACCAUUUGCCUUCAGGGCUGCAGAGGCCGAGUUUCUGCAGCUCCCACCCGGGCUGGCUCGUUUUUAGGUUGAGAGGGGUGAGUAAGGUAUAUCUGCAGAGGGGAGAUAAGGUAAUCGGGCACCUCGAAUGCCUGGGAUCGCAUUAAAGCAAGGCUGGCUGGUGAGAUCCUAUCGCUGCACAGAAAUAUCUGCUACUUUAUCCUCGUCUGGAACAUGAACCAAAACAAAUCAGGAGACCAGCACAGUGGGUUUGGGCUCGCUGGCACAGCACGGUGGGCAGGGAGGAGGGGAAGCAUUGCCUUGGCAGAGCCUGCACAGCUGAGACAGCAACACAGGAGGAUGCUGCCGCAGCGACGGGGAGCAAGGGUGGCCAUGUAGGAAGGAGAGACACCUUGUGAAGGGCAGGAGAAGGGCCUGCAUCCAGGCUCGCAUACCCAAGGACACUGGGAAGGGUGCACAGCCCAAAGAGCACCUGAUAAAUCAGCUAGCUCUCACCUGGCUCGUGGGAGCGGCUCCAGGAGGGACCCCCUGUGUGACACCACAGCCCAAUCUGAUUGCUAACACAGGGAGCAGAGCCCAUCCCUAACAUUUCCCACCCUGGGCUGACCCCUGGGGAGGGGCACAGCUGCUCAGCUCCCACCUCCCCGAUCCGGCUGUGGCAGAGGGAACCAAACAGCAGGCGUGAGCUGGCUGCCAGCCUGCUCUGUGAGGAGCAGAUGAAAGGCUCCUUUUCUCCUCCACCUGGAGCACACAGCCAGCCUGGUUCACGUGCAUCUGCAGGAGCCAAGGAUACUGGGAGCAGGCUCACUCGGUACAGCUGGGCCGUGGCUGAUAGCGGGACCUCUCACCGCUUCCCAGUGUUCGCAGGUAAUUGCAUGCAGCUCCCCUCCUUGCCCUCCUGCAGAGCUGUUCACCCAAGCUGGCAAGCUGGGAGGCAAGCAGAAAAAGCUUGCUGCUCUCAGGAAGCACGAAUCUUACCUCUGCCGGCGGUCGUGGCUUCAAAAUACAGUGAAUGUCCUUCAAGGAGGAGGGACCUCAUGCUGUGCCCAGUAAACCAGUCACGGCAGCUGCACGGAGUCAGGGCUCAUCCCUGCCAAAGCCAGGAACAACGUGCAUGCAAACAAAGCUCAGGUUUCCAGCUCCUUUCGUUCUGCCCAAGACACAUGCCCUGACUUAUUUCCAAAGCCAUCAUGUGAAGCUUGUUUCUCCUGGGAGAGCACGAGGUGAGCAGGAGCACUGGGAGCGAUGCCUGCCAACAAACACCAUCCAGGGCUGCAGUGGCUGAGGGGAGAGGAUCCAGGUCUGCAGGCUUCUUUCUGCCAGAGCAGAUCCCGCUUUGGCUUCUUCAGAAGCAUUUGGGAAGGAGGCUUUGCAGGCUAAAAAAGCACAACAGGCCAAGGAUUGGAGCAGGGAGCAGCCAGCACAAGGACCAUCCCAACCUGUAGGGAGCUCAGAACUGCACAUCGCUUCAGGAACGGGGACUGACAGCUGCUAAGAGUUCAUUGAGAGCAGCAGUAUUUGGAGAAGUGAGCAAGUGUGGGGAGACAAGGCAUGGGCAUAGCAAAGCAAGAAAGCUUGACGUCUCCUCUCCACCCUCUAAACACCACACCUGGAUGCUCACAGUGCUGGAGGGAUCGCAGCCCAGCCCUUGCAGGGCAAGCAAGCCUCCAACGCAGUGCAAAUACAGAUGGUGGAAAACAUAAUGCAUCAAAGCAGCCGACAAAACACGCUAUCAUCUGGCACUUAGCAGUGAUUGCUGUCUCUGGUUCCCCACUGAGGAUGAUGGCCCACACACUGCCAGGGCAGCUCCAAGACAUCAAAUGCACGUUGGUCAACACACCUUAGGAAGAAGCCUGAGAUAGUACGUUGUGCUUCUCAGGAUGGGAUGAUUACCCAGGGCAAGAGCCUCACUUAAAGCAGAGCUGCUGUUUCUGGACUCCACAGUUCCUUGCUCAGAGUUAGUUCAGGCUCUGCAUCCUGCUGCAGUGGAGACAAGGAAGCCCCUUCGGGUGAAACAGAGACCAGGAAACCUUCAGCUAACACACAGAGAGGAUGUUACUGCCUAUUACCUGCAGCUGAAGAUAUUCCACCUGACUUAUCCAGGGCAAAUAAGGCUUGUCAAGAGCAACACGCUCAUUGAAUUGCUGUAUUGGUCAGUCUGCAUUGACAGCGUUGUGUUAUGAGAGGUAAUCAAAAUGCUGCUGGAGAACUAACGUGUAACAGCUCCGCUCGAGCUGAUGGCAAAAGGAGGCCAAGCGCUGACAAGCCAGCCUCAUCUACAGCAAGCAAGAACAGGGACUGACAUACAGCUUAGACCACGUAUUCAUUAACACAAUGGAGGAAUGAAUAAAAGUUCAAGGGGUGAAGGAAGAAAGCUGUUUCCCUUAUAAUUUAUGAACAUCCAGAACGUGACGCUCUUGGCCUUGAUAUCACCAGGUAGAUGGCAUGGCAGAGGGCGGUGCACCCUUUGCACCUGGACAUUAGCUGGCCUGCGCUGGCUCUGACAAAGGAGAGACAGCAGAAAUUAGAUAAAAUCAUGGGAAGAAGCACACCAAAGCUGCCAGGUGAGGCUCUCAGCACAGAGCUGAGCAGGUCUGGGAGCUGCAGGUACCGCUCAGCCCCAGGCAGCUCUGGGAUUCCCUGGACAGACCCCAGGGCAAGCUCCAGCGACCCAGCUAAUGACUUGUAUGGGAUUACUCUGCAAAUGCUGGCUCACAAUAAAUGACUGCGCUUUGGGGAAACCUUUCUGAACCAGCUGUAUUGCGCAGAUGUCCUCAGGAGUAAAAGUGCUUAGCAAGAUCAGCAUGAACCUGGCACUAGAGGCUGCCUGGGAAAACAAGGCCCCAGCUGGUAACACUAACCUUGAGGAAGAGGAGACCCCAGGAAGGAGCAUGGGGCCAUCACCCCAUUCUGAGUCUCUUCAGCAGCUCUAAGAAGGGUGCACGGAUGAGCCAUGGGUCUCCCUCUGGUCAACGGGAAAGCAACCUGCAGGAAAGUCCUAUUUCAGUGAACUCCGAGGAAGAGGAUCUCUCAUCCUUCAUGCCUGACUGCCUUCCUGGAGCAGCAUUUUCCUGGGUUAGCAAAUACCACCAACCCCAACCUCUGCAGGCAGAUGGCUUUUUGCCUUAUAGCAGCCCGCUAAUAGGAAAGCAGUGGGGGACAGAUGCUCCUGCCUUCCCACGUUAAGCCAGAGCAGCAGCUCCGAGCUGGCAGCAGCACUUGCUCACAUCAGUGCCCGAAAGCCACGGAAGGCAGCAGGAGGUGUGGGGUAAGCACCGACACGCAGGCACCAUGCACAGAGCCAGCUGGAGCCUGCUCAGAGGCGAUGCUCCCAGGACCCUCCGUGCCCCUCCAGCAACCCAGAGCCUUCCAAGCACCAGCUGUACCUCGUACCCACGCGUGCUUCUAUGCUUCAGCUAGCAGAAUAAAUACAAAGCAGCAAGCAGCAGCAAACAUCUUCCUCUUGACUGCUGCCGAGGGAAAACACUCUUCAUUUCAGCCCCUCUGCUGCUAACGUGAGGGCUAAGAGUUAAGCUGGCAGCUGUCCUUGCUGGGUGGAAAGGAGCAGUGCAGUCCUAACAGAGCUCCUGGCUGGUGGAGGAAGCGCAGACCUAUUUAAAGGAGUCAGAGCCCUUUUCAUCUGCCUUCUUCGAAAGGGAAAGAGCCCACGUGAAUAUAUCUAACCAGAGCUAGAGCUUUGAACCCCUACAGGAAAGCCCUAUUCACCUCUUUCAGCCAAUUGCCCAGCAUGGCAAGAGCUGUUUCUCUGGCAAUGGCAACGUUGGCUCAUUUUGAAGUCUUUCCUCCCACAGACAGCAAAGCCUCCCUGGUCCCACAUACCCCAAAAGGGCAAGCAUGCAACUCACAGCGCCCAGCAGUGCCUGUGGGACCCCUUCUCCUGCCUAUAGAGGAAGGGGCCCAGUCCCCACUUCUGACAGCAGCACGCCAACUGGUAAAUAGCCACCCAGCCCCCACUUUGUCCCACGGUAAGGCUAAUUUCCAACAGCAGCAUCUCCCUGCAGAAGCAGUCCUGGGGUGGGGAGAUGGGAAGGAUGCUAGAGACAGAAAUGGGGACCAACAGCCCCGGGGGAGCUAAGGGGGAUGCCGUCCAGAAGGGAGGAGAGCUCACAGCUGUCCUUGCAGUGAGUGAGGGCAGGAAUACAGGCAGGAGCAGUGCUUUAAGUCAGGCAGUGCUACGGCUGUGUACCUUUGGCUAAGCUGGUGAGAAAAGCAGUUUGUCAGGAGACAGAAGAGGCAUUCGCGUGACAGAUACUUGCAAGGUUUUCUGCUGUCAUUCUUUCUGCUUUGGUUUUGUUUUGCUUUGAAGUAAUUGCUACACCUCCGAAAAACAACUGCCUCAUCACGCCGUGAUCUUCCCCUCAAGAAAUCCUCGAUGUUGGCUGUUUCCACCCGGCUCUGCAGAGCCCUCCACGCCUUACAGAGACGAAGUGGGGAGGAUCGUGGCACGGCACUGCCCUCUUUGGGUAAAACCACCCACUGAUCUUCACCACGUUGUGCACACAGCUUGUCCUUUUCUCGCGUCCUGCUGGACGUGAGCAGCUCUGCAUUCCCCUUGCAGGAAGGGUGGCCAGGAGAUGCUGUUCUCCAAUCCCAACCCCAAACCCGCUGCCAUCCAGAGCCACUGCCAUGCUGCUCUCGUAAGGCUCUGCUCCCCAGCGGGAUGCCUGGUAAACUGCAGAGCUGCCUCCAUUUUCCCCCUCUGGAUGAAAAAGGCUUAGUUAAAUGACUGCAAAAACGCAGGGUGGGAAGAACAUCCUGGAGCAGCAUGGAAACCAAGAGUGGAGGAUGGAAAGGAGAACAGCAGGUGAUGUGGUUGCUGCGGAUCCUACCUUCACACGACCACGCAGACGAGGAUGCAUUAACAGUGGUAGACAACUGUAAAUCCAGCACGUCCUUAUCUGGAAACACAGGGUUUCUCCAGAUACCCCUGAAAGAGGAAAAAACCAGAGGAGAUCACUGAAAGAAUUCCCUUAGGACCUGAAGAAGAGAUCCGUACACCUCCCACACAUAAGCAUGCAGCACAUGGAGGAGGUGGCACUGCUGCAGUUGGUGCCCGGCUCUGCUGCACCAGUCCCAAACCACCAGCAGGAACAACUGGGUUGGUAAAGGCAGCCAUUCGGCAGCAUCUCCUCUGGGUAAAAGGAAGAGGUCGGCAUCCUGCCCAAACUGGGAGUUCAUGGGUGUAAUAUAGGACCCCUUCACAGCGCUGUGUGUGUGCGCAUGGUGUGAGCGCAUGCAUCCACAUCCAUAUAGGAUGCAGAACAAAGCCCCUGCCAUUCCAGUCCGACUUCCAGGCAGAUAAUAAUAGUUCAGCCACGUUCAGCUCCAGCCCCACUCAGCAGCAGGUCUCACCAGGCUUUACAAAGGGACAGCCACGUGCCUUUGAGCCGUGCUCGGAUAGAGCCUAUUUUUGGGCUCUUUGUCAGCACACCGCCCUGCUGUAAGCCAUCACCUCUGAGGUUAAUUAGACAAAAUGCUUCAGCGAGGCCACGGGAGGAGCAAGGUUUCCUUUUCUCCACGUUAAGCCCUUUUACCAACACUUCAAUAGAUGCUGACAUCGCUGCGCUCUGCCACGCUACCCAUCGCACCGCUGGUGAUAACAGCAGCUCCAUUGCUGGGGAUGAGGGACAAGCAAACAAGAGAGAAAGUAAUAAGAGCAGAACAUGGUUAGAAAUCAUCGGCUACAGCAGCAGCCCCGGAAGACACAACUGUGCUCGUCCCCACUGCAAUCAACCCAGCACAGCAUCAUAGCCAGCACAGUGCUCCGUGAGCUCCGCAGGGCUGGGGAUGGCUGGGAGCUCCAGGAGCGCGGUGAGGAAAGGACGGCGCUCUCACUUUACCACAACACGACCAGCCGCUCCCAAAAACAGCUUGGCUUCCACGUCCCUGAACCUUGCAGGUGUUUGUUUAACAGUCUGCAUAAAUUGAGGCUAAUCGCAGCUCCGCCAGCUGCCGAGGAGCCCAGCAGCCUGGAGGACGCGGCCCCGUUAUCUCAGUGGGGGGACAGCUGUCCGCUCGGCCCUAAGGGAGCAGCCGACCUCUCACACCCGCAGCCUCAGCGGGGGGAAGCGGAGGACGGAGGCUGAAUGGGAUUAGUGCCGAGAUGGGGGGUGAGGAGCCGCUCGCUGCUGCUGCUGCCAGGGACACAUCUCUGCUGUCCCCUUUGCGCUGAGGGCUGGGCUGGAGGCCAUGGCCGGUCUCUGUAGGUCUGCUAUGUACAUAAAGGCAUGAAUAAUAGAUCUAACAAGCCAACAAAAGCACUUUAUCUCAAGCGUGCUUCUGUCAGAAAGCCAGGCUUCUCCAGCACGUGGGAUGGUUUCCAGACAGUGCCUUUUCCUAAGAGCACGGGGGGUUUCCUGGCUUUGCUGCACCCUCCCUGACUUCGCUCGCAGGGAGUGAACACAGGGCAGGGCUUGGCCACAACAGACCCCCCCUGAAUGCCUUUGGCUCACCUCACAGACCUGGCAGGAUGGGGCAGCAUCCCCUGAGCCAGCUCCAUGUGCCACCUGCAGCCCCAGCAGAGCCCGCACGUGGAGAGCACAGCCACCCGCAUGAACAGAUGGUUGGCUUCCCUUCACCUUAAACAAGGAGCAAGAGCACUUCCUCCCAUCCUGAAGCAGGGGUCAUCUGUAUCCCUGAAAGCUGCUUCCCCAUCCGUCCAUAUGCCCAGCAGCAGAAAAGCUGGAGGAAGGGACUCGUGCUCUCGUGCAGCUCCCCAGCAGUUGGGCAGUGCUCCUGCUGCUGGCCAGCCUGCCUUCCCUGAGGGCUACCAGGGUUAGUGUGCUGUGCAGUGACUGCAGGGACCCUCUAAGGCAUGGGCUGUCCCCUCCCCGUUUGCUUUAUGGAAAUACAUAAGGUCUUGACACGAGCAGAGGAAAUUACAUUCCUUUAUCACGGCAGUGCAUGGCCCUGGCUAAGGCAGGAAGAAGAACACGAGCAAUAGACCCAGAAUACAAUUCUCCUCUCAACGGUGGAGGUCAGCAUUGAAAAAGCCAGCAGCUCCUUCGCCCCUCAGCUCUCUGUUUCAUUUGCAUUUCAAUUUCUGGAGCUGCUGAACAUCGGCCCCACAAAGGCCAGGCGAUGCUCCGGGCUGGAUUCUUGCUCCACAGGGCAGGCACAGAGAGAAGCCAUCCCUCACAACCCAGUCCCCAUGUCAGGAGGCACCACCAGAUGCACCAGGAGGGAAGGCAGGAGCAUUCUGGCAUGCUCAGCCUGGGCACAAGCAGGUCAUGUUUCUCUGCCAAUACCUGGACCAGAGCAAUGCCUCCUCUCUCCCAUUCCCAACAGGCAGGCAGCGGUCCAAAUUCAGUUUUUAGGCAAUUGGAAAGCCAGGGCUCCCACCCACACCGCUCCUUCCUCGGCUGCCAGCAAGCUCCCAGAAAUUAGGCUGAAUCUCCCUCCAGUACAGAGUUCUCUGCAGCAUCAGAGCAAGGCCCCAGCAAGGGCCUGGGUAACAAAUGGCCCAGCAGCAUGCCAGAUGGCCAAGAAAUCCAGCCUGAACACCCACCCGUUCCUGGGAGCGCUGAAUGCUGCCUGUGCCUACAGACAGGCAUGAUAGAUCAAGCUCAACUGGAGGAGAUGGUGAAAUCCACUGUUUAGAACAACUGCUUAUUAGCAGCCUGGGCUGGACAUGGGAGACCACAGCAGGGCCAGCCCUGCCUGAAAGGCUGCAGCAGCUCCUCCAGCCUCACCAGGGCAAGGAUCCCAUCACAGGUCCUGUGCAGACUCACUCACCCUGAGCCCGGUGCAAGAGGAUCAGCAGCAGCUCCACUGUGCCCUUUCCAAGCCGUCCUUGGGAAGCAUAAGGUGCAGCUAAAGCUUUGAUACUGGAUGAGAGACUUUUUUUGGCCACCAAUCAGUCUCUGAUUUCUUUCCCUAAAAGAGCCAUCUGGGACGUUGUCCUGAAGAUGCAGCUGGUCCAGAAGGCAAGAGACAGUGCAUCAGUACUGCAGGAAACAGGCAAAGCAAGCAGGCUGUCAGAGGAAGGAGUGCUUCUCCAUCCACAAAUGCAGGAAGCUGCUCUCGUCUCCUCACCACUUCCCAGCCUCAGCAGACAUGGGCUGUCAGAAAUGAGAUAAAAUAGGACAGGGGAUCGCAGCAGUUGAAAUCUCUCCUGUGUUUGUCUGGAUACCCUCCAAGAACUCAUCCGAGACGCUGACAGCUGAGGGCUGAGGAUUACAGUGUGAGCGGGGACAGCUCUGCUGCACAGCCCACCUCACCCUGGAGGAGCUGGCAUCUCAAAGGUACAUGGAACAGCGUGCUUUGGAGGAAUUGGACAGGGCUCAGCAUGUCAGAGCUUCGGUACAGCAUCUCUGCAGCUCAGAGCAACAGCUCCUGCCAGAGAAAAAAAAAAAUAGCCAUGAGCCAUCGUGCUGCAAAGAUUCCAUCCCCUCUGCUGGCAGCUCGAAGGACAAGCACGUACUGCCUCGUUUUCUUCUGGCCCCAUUGAUUUUCUGCAGCUCCAUCUCCAGGAGCACACACUGCAGUUUGUUUGGCCUUGCAGGAAUGCUGGGGCAGGAUGAGGAUGCCUACAGAUCGUGCUGGGGGCAGAGAGACAGCAAAAGGUAUCACAGGACAGCUGUGUUAAGACAGAAGAGGGAACAGGCACAGCCAGGCUCAUUCCCACAGCCCAGGACAAGGACUGCUUUGUGCAAAACCAGAGGUCAGUCAGCUCCUAGGACCUCCGAGUCUGGCACAGACCGGCUAGCGGAGCGAGAGCAGAACAGAGAUGUCAAAGAAACAGAAGGAAGAGAUUUAAACAGCCCAAACUUGGUUCCUUCCAGCUUGCUUGGCAAACACAUAGAGCCCGGAUCCUCCUCGCUGCCAUCUCUCCUUCCCUGCUUCCCUGCCAAUGCACCCAUUUGGGAUGCUGCUUCUGCCGCCCACCCAGUGACCACAUUGCUCCACUAAGGCACAGAAAGAAGUCAGGUGAUUGCUUAGGAGAAAUAUAUACACACACACACACAAAGAUGUAUGUAUAUGUAAGAGGCCUCAAACUUUAAGGAGUUUAGGACAUGGCACACCUCUGCUUCAAGAUCAAGUUGCCUGGCAGCAAGGCCCUCUCUAGGCAACCUUCCCCCACAUUCAUCAGCAGUAGCACACAGAGGAGCUCACCCCUGAGAGCAAAUCUUCACACGAUCUCCACCUUCAAAAGCCAUCAGGGACUCCUGGAGAUGCUUCAACUCACCGCGAUCCGAGCAGAGGCAAGGAGCCAGCAGGACCUUUCUGAAAGCAGCUGACAGACAGAACCCUCUGCUUCUCCCCCUUUGCAUCUCCUUCAACCAAGCAGGGUGAUCAGCACAGAGGCACCGUGCAGGCAGAGGGGCACAGCCCCGACCUGAAAAGACAGACACAAGAAAACCUUUCAUUUCCCUGCCGUUGAACCAGAGCCAGACGAGGCUACAGCACACAUCUCAGGGCUGUGAGGCAUCUCAAGUGCUCAGCCAAGCCCUGAGCUCGGAGCACAGCCCAUCCCAGGGCCGGGCCUCCCCUUCCAGCCUGCUGCUGGGCUCCCUCCGGGUUGCUGGCAUCCCUCCUGCUCCAAGCGGAUGCCGCUCCUGUAAGCAACAGUGCUGAGUGAAAACCCUCCUGAAAGGGAGGAAAAAAAACAACCAUCUAUCCCAGCCUUCGAGCCGCGCUAUUAAUAUUUCAUCUUUCUUUUUUCUGCCAGAAGAAAGUAAGUUCCUCCUGCCAGCUGGGCUGCCAUCUCACCACCACGUAUCUGUGGCUCAGCCCUGGCUGCCAGCCCCUCCACACAGAUGGCAAAUGCAAGGCUCAUAUCCCCUCCACACAACCCCUUCUGCAUCCCUGGGCGGCGGCAGCAGAGCCAGCAGCACGAGGCACGGAGAGGCGGGCAGGGCUGGGCUGAGCACCCUGCGAAGCAAAGCUGAAG